GGGAAGGUGGCUCAGUGGUAGAGUACUUGCCUUGCAUGCAUGAGGACCUGGGUUCGAUUCCUCAGCCCCA
rnacentral:tRNA from 1 species